UACGUAGGGACCAAGCGUUGUUCGGAUUUACUGGGCGUAAAGGGCGCGUAGGCGGCUUGACAAGUCACUUGUGAAAUCUCCGGGCUUAACUCGGAACGGCCAAGUGAAACUGUCAUGCUAGAGUGCAGAAGGGGCAAUCGGAAUUCUUGGUGUAGCGGUGAAAUGCGUAGAUAUCAAGAGGAACACCGGUGGCGAAGGCAGCUCUCUGGGACGGUACUGACGCUGAGACGCGAAAGCGUGGGGAGCGAACAGG
rnacentral:rRNA from 1 species